UCAAAAGCAGAUAAACAUCUUGUCUCUUCAAUUUCUUUUCUUCUUCAAAACGUUUUGAAUCACCCGAGAGCUUAGUUUAAUCACUUAGAUAUCUGCCCUUCCCUGAUUCCUUCCCUCCAUUUCUCCCUUUUCCUGCUUCAAUCUGGUUCUCUCACCCUUUCAUUUUUUGCUUGAAAUUCUGCAACUCCAGGGACUCGUCCGACCAGGUAAUCUCCUCUAUUGCUCUUAAACGCUUCAGUUGCUAAGGUAUGCGCGAGACUGUUUCUUGAUCUUGGGAUAUGCUCGAACUUACAUUCCUUAAAAUAUACCAAGAGCUGAUGGAUAUCAUGAAUAUACGCACUAACCAAUGAUUUAUCUGGGUUUUUCUUUUGCAUUUCUUUAAUAUUGAUAAAGAAUCUCCUUCAAUAAUAACUCUUUCCCACUGCAAGUGAACGCCGAUCUGGAGAGCUUUCCGACAUGCGAUUGCUUCCGCUCCAAAGGCUGAGGAAACCCUUUGAUGAACCUCCGAGCAAGAUAAGAGAACUGAACCCUCUUUGUCUCUGGCCACAACUCCAAUAACCGCUUUUUUUUGUCCUACUUCAUAUGCUGCAUCGAAAUUGAUUUUGACAACCCUAUCCACUGGUUUUUCCCAUUUUUUAACAAUUAUGGGAGUUUGUCGAUAAUUUUUACCAACCGCUUCAAGCUCUGAUAUGUAGCUAUUAACAAAUCUCCCUAUUUCUUUUCCAGAUUUACUCCCUUUGUUAUGCAGUCUAUUAUUUCUAUCUCCCCAGAUGGCCCAUAUUGCAACACAGAAGAUCCGACGCUGGGAUGUCGAGCUAUGUACAAAAACCCAAGGCAUUCACGAAAAAGAUGUUCCAUAGAUUCAGUUCCUGAGCCACAACGAGGACACAUUGAUGUAUUCGUUAGUCUUCUAAGUAGCAUAUUAACACGAGUAGCUAGGAAAUUCUAUGAGAUCUUCCAAACUGUAAUUUUUAUUUUUUAAGGAAGAUCAAGUAGCCAUAGUUUCCUGUAAAAGUCCUUAUAGUCGGCUUGUAAAGCAUAAGCUCUAGGAUCAUUUGCAGUACUUUGUAAUAGUUUAUAGGCGCUACGUGCUGUGUACUCACCCGACGCUUCAGCAUUCCAGACUUGGAAAUCUUCGUGUGGUCU